rnacentral:rRNA from 1 species
UACGUAGGGGGCAAGCGUUGUCCGGAUUUAUUGGGCGUAAAGAGCGUGUAGGCGGCCAUACAGGUCCGUUGUGAAAACUCGAGGCUUAACCUCGAGACGUCGAUGGAAACCGUAUGGCUAGAGUCCGGAAGAGGAGAGUGGAAUUCCUGGUGUAGCGGUGAAAUGCGCAGAUAUCAGGAGGAACACCAGUGGCGAAGGCGACUACCUGGCCUGUUCUUGACGCUGAGGCGCGAAAGCUAGGGGAGCAAACGGG